rnacentral:rRNA from 1 species
UACGGGGGGGGCAAGCGUUGCUCGGAAUCACUGGGCGUAAAGGGCGCGUAGGCGGGGAGGUAAGUCGGGUGUGAAAUCCCUCGGCCCAACUGAGGAACUGCGCUCGAGACUGCUUCUCUUGAGUCCCGGAGAGGAAGAUGGAAUUCCCGGUGUAGCAGUGAAAUGCGUAGAGAUCGGGAGGAACAUCAGUUGCGAAGGCGGCUCUCUGGACCAGCACUGACACUGAGGCACGAAAGCGUGGGGAGCAAACAGG